CCUCAGCUUUUUUAAAUCUUGACUCUUUUUCUUUUUUUUGUUUUAUAAUACUAUUGAAUGCUAGUCUUUAUAAUCUUGACUCAUAUUUGCAAUGCCACAUCACACUAUUAAGUUGAUAAUUGAGAUCACCUCACCUCAUUUUAGUUUGAUGAUGAAAUUAAUGGCCAGGAGUUUGUUUGAUUUUGGAGUUAAAGAAGUAAAUUUACAUUAUCCAUUCCAUGUCUUGGGAGUUCGAUGAAUUUUAUUUUCACUGAAAUGUUUUUUUUUUGACACAAAGGUAAAGGAGUUCAAUGAUUGAGAGCGACUGUGGCUAUUCAACAUCAGAGACCCCUUAAUUUUUAUAUUGGCACAAAGGCUGGAAAACAUAAACAAAUUAGUCUAAUCCCUAAGCAGUAGUGAGUGAUUAGAUAAGUUAUUAUCUCUAUAUUUUUAUAUGCCGUCUCAAGUGAGUAACGUCUCAAGUAUUUCACAAAAGAAGUUUCAAUCAUGCAUCCAUAUAUGUAAACAAAGGCCAAAACAUAAACGAAAGAUUAAAACCAAGCAUAUAUAUGUAAACAAAAUAAAACUAUAUGGUCAUAAUGUGCAUUGCUUAUUUACAUAUUUGAUUUA